UACGUAGGGUGCGAGCGUUGCCCGGAUUUAUUGGGGGUAAAGGGCGCGUAGGCGGCUCGGCACGUCCGUUGUGAAAUCGCCCGGCUCAACUGGGCGGGGUCGGCGGAUACGGCCGAGCUGGAGUAAGCUAGGGGGUAAUGGAAUUCCCGGUGUAGUGGUGGAAUGCGUAGAUAUCGGGAGGAACACCAGUGGCGAAGGCGGUUACCUGGAGCUUUGCUGACGCUGAUGCGCGAAAGCGUGGGGAGCGAUCCGG
rnacentral:rRNA from 1 species